rnacentral:lncRNA from 1 species
GGGAUGGGGGGGUAGCCGCGCGGCAGUUUGAACGGCGAAAAAUGGGCAAGAUCGGGGGCCGCUUAGUAGGCUUUGCCGGUUUCGGCCGUAACUCAUAAUCCGGGCCUCCGAUUCCGUUUCCAUUUGGUCCCACGGGACCAGCGGUCCGGGGGCAUCGGGACGGGGGGGUAGCCGUGCGGCGGUUUGAUCGCCGAAAAAUGGGUAAGAUCAGGGCCGUUUGGCCCGUUUUGCCGGUUUCGGCCCCCCGGGGGGCGGUUCAUGCCCCGGGGGGGACAGCGGGGCGGGAUCGGCACACGGCGGGGGAGGUGGUCGGGUUCCGGCGGGUGCGGUCGGCGGCGGGGGCGCCCGGGGGGCUAUAGCGCACGGCCUCGGGGGCCGCAAAGAAGGGGCCGUAACUCAUGAUCGGGGCCCCCGAUUCCGUUUCCGUUUCGUACCACGGGACCAGCGGUCCGGGGGCAUCGGGAUGGGGGGG